GCCGCCGUAGCUCAGUGGUAGAGCAUCGGACGCAUUAUCCGAAGGUCGCAGGUUCGCUUCCUGCUGGCGGCA
rnacentral:tRNA from 1 species